rnacentral:rRNA from 1 species
GGAAGCGAGAUCGAGAGAUGGAGCAAAUCCCAAAAUAAACGUCCCNGUUCGGACUGUAGUCUGCAACCCGACUACACGAAGCUGGAAUCGCUAGUAAUCGCGGAUCAGAAUGCCGCGGUGAAUACGUUCCCGGGUCUUGUACACACCGCCCGUCACACCAUGGGAGUCAGUAACGCCCGAAGUCCGUAGCCUAACCGCAAGGGGGGCGCGGCCGAAGGUGGGUUCGAUAAUUGGGGUGAAGUCGUAACAAGGUAAC